GGCCCACAUCCAGCGUGCUAAACGAAUGUCAGGGGCUUCACAAAGAUCGCGGAUAGGGGAUAAGAUGUCUAGGGGCCAAGUAACCCUUUAAUGGCAAUUGAGUCUAAAGGUGCCAGAAUUAAGACCAACUAUGUUUCGCAGUGGGGUUCACAAUAUCCAGUCAAUAGAGGCAACAGGGUGAUAUUUGUCUGCCAUUUAUUUUAUUUUAUACAAACGGUGAAGUGAGACAUAUGGGUUAUGCCAAAGAAAACAGUGAUUUAAGGAACACGGCAAACCUUGCCAAGCUCUCCUGCGCUUUGUACGAUGACAAAAGGAAAAGGGAACAUAAGAGACAAGAAGGGAAAACCGCAGCGGAGAGCAAGCUUUUCCUGACACCUUUUAGUGCUGAAAGAAUUGUAUUGACAGGUGAUGUACGGUUCUGGCAAAAGUAGGGAGACUAAUGUAAAAAGUGUGACCUUCUUUUGCGGCGCCCAGGAUUUGUUUCAAAAUCUGCUAUUCAACACAUGCGACGGAGAGAUCUCUGAAACCGAACACUUAACAUUUCCAUUCAGGAGAUGAAAGAUGCGCUACCAGCCAAUCACUUUCUCUAUGAUUAAGCCUCA